CAAAAGCCCCCUGACAUAGCACUCUUGUCAUACUGAGACUAAGGUAGAAAAAGACACUUCCAAAGGGUGUCAAUGACAAGAGAGAAAUAGACAUAGAGUGGUCACUUCAUUUACCAACCCUGGAACCGCAGACCUCUGGGCUUCCUGGGGCCGCAGUGACUGUGUCCAGUCCUUCCUCACCCCGCUGCAGAGUCAGUCCAGGAGGCCUUUACCCACAGCACUGCCACCUCCCUCCACGACCCCUGUCUUUCUCUUCCCCAGAUUAAACGCUCCCACUUCUCUCCAUUCUUCUUUCUCCACCCCCAGGCCCAUUUCUGCCUCGGUUGCCUGCCUCCAACCACAAUCCAGUUUUUUGGCUCCCAGAGACAGACAUGCCCAGAUCUGAACACCACCCACCUGGAUAAAGAAAAUGGGUACGGCCAAGACCAUAGACCUAGUGAUUGUCAGAUGAACAAUUAGACCCACAGAACCAUCCAAGCUACAGAGGACGCAUUCUGCCUUCCCUUGGAUCCUGUGGUUUGAGGAUGGAGGUCUAGGACCGUGGCAGGCUUUUUGUCCCAUGAGGGAAGGCCAUGGAGCUGAGGAAGGGGAAGAACACACACACCUAAUGGAAUCUCGAGAGAAAGUUCAGACAUCAAAAGACAGAAGCGACAGAGACCCAGAUGGAGUCUCACCCAGCCUGGAGUACAGUAGUAUGAUCUGCAACCUUUGCCUCCCAGGUUCAGGCGAUUCUCCUGUCUCAGCCUCCGGAGUAUCUGGGAUUACAGGCACGUGCCACCACGCCCGGCUAAUUUUUUGUAUUUUUAGUAGAGAUGGGUUUCACCGUGUUAGCCAGGAUGGUCUCGAACUCCUGACCUCGUGAUCUACCCGCCUUGGCCUCCCAAAGUGCUGGGAUUACAGGCAUGAGCUACCGUGCUCGGCCAUGCCUGGCUAAUUUAUAUAUACAUAUAUAUAUAUAUAUAUAUUUUUUUUUUUUUUUUUUUUUUUUUGAGACAGAGUCUUGCUCUGUCACCCAGGUUGGAGUGCAGUGGCAUGAUCUCGGCUCACUGCAAGCUCGCCUCCCAGGUUCACGCCAUUCUCCUGCCUCAGCCUCCUGAGUAGCUGGGACUACAGGCGCCCGCAUGACGCCCGGCUAAUUUUUUGUAUUUUUAGUAGAGACGGGGUUUCACUGUGUUAGCCAGGAUGGUCUCGAUCUCCUGACCUCGUGAUCUGCCCACCUCAGCCUCCGAAAGUGCUGGGAUUACAGACAUGAGCCACCGCACCCAGCCUUAUAUAUAUAUUUUUUAUUAGUGAAGAGGUUUCGCCAUAUUGGCCAGACUGGUCUCGAACUCCUGACCUCAGGUGAUCCACCCACCUCGGCCUCCCAAAGUGCUGGGAUUACAGGUGGGAGCCACCGCACCCUGCCUAAAAUGCAAAAGAUUUUGAAUGGCGAGAAUGGCGACAUGAUGCCACAAGUGGAAAAUUCCACACCUGGCUGCAUGUAAUGGGUUGAAGUCAAAAUGCAGUCAAAAACUUUGUUUCAUGUACAAAAUUAUUAAAAACAUUGUAUAAAAUCACCUUCAGACUAUGUGUAUGUGAAACCUAAGUGAAUUUAAUGGCUAGACUUCAGUUGCAUUCCCAAGAUCUCUCAUUAUGUAUAUGCAAAUAUUUUGAAAUUCAACCUGGUUCCACACAUUUUAGAUAAGGGAUACUCAAGCUGUAAUUAACAAAUAAACUUUUCACAGUCCAAGCAGCCAAAGGCCCACUGUCCCUGUUCCCUCAGCUCACGCCCCCUUCCGUGCACAGCCUUAUCUAAUCCUUCUACCCUUCGUUGUGUUUGGACUUCAGACUCUUUUUUUUUAAGACAAAGUCCCGCUCUGUUGCCCAGGCUGGAGUGCAGUGGCGCGAUCUCAGCUCAACCUCUGCCCCCAGGUUCAAGCAAUUCUCAUGUCUCAGCCUCCCGAGUAGCUGGGAUUACAGACACCCGUCACCACGGCUGGCUAAUUUUUGUAUUUUUAAUGGAGACGGGGUUUCACCAUGUUGGCCAGGCUGGUCUCAAACUCCUGACCUCAGGUGAUCCGCCCCCAUCAGCCUCCCAGGGUUUUGGGAUUACAGGCGUGAGCCACUGCGUUCGGUCUGGACUUCAGAUUCUUGAGCUGGC
rnacentral:lncRNA from 1 species